UACGGGGGGGGGCAAGCGUUGUUCGGAAUUACUGGGCGUAAAGGGCGCGUAGGCGGUCUGCUAAGUUGAAUGUGAAAACUCUGGGCUUAACCCAGAGCCUGCAUUCAAUACUGGCAGGCUAGAGUUCUGGAGGGGAUAGCGGAAUUCCUGGUGUAGCGGUGAAAUGCGCAGAUAUCAGGAGGAACACCGGUGGCGAAGGCGGGUCUCUGGGCAGUAACUGACGCUGAGACGCGAAAGCGUGGGGAGCGAACAGG
rnacentral:rRNA from 1 species